CGGACGGGUGAGUGACACGUGAGCAACCUGCCUUCGAGAGGGGAAUAACGGCUGGAAACGGUCGCUAAUACCGCAUAAUGUACGGAUGGGACAUCCUGUCUGUACCAAAGAUUUAUCGCUCGAAGAUGGGCUCGCGUCCGAUUAGGUAGUUGGUGAGGUAACGGCCCACCAAGCCGACGAUCGGUAGCCGGACUGAGAGGUUGAACGGCCACAUUGGGACUGAGACACGGCCCAGACUCCUACGGGAGGCAGCAG
rnacentral:rRNA from 1 species